CAAGGGUUAGUGUAACACAGUAACACGCCCCGGCAUUAAUGCUGGGGAGUUAUCCGUGCAAACCGGGUACCCUUGA
rnacentral:tRNA from 1 species